UAGAGCUACGUACUACCCGAUAGUGCACUAAAAUAAAGAUACUCGCAAACGGCAUCUGUUUUGGUAUAGUUCUGCCAGGACAGAAUUUUAUUAUUAGAAAUGAGUUUGAAAUUCCUAUUUUGGGAUUUAAAACUCUAAAGUCAGAAUAUUGAAAGGUUAUAGUUAUAAAAUAGCUAGAGUCCCUGACUCAGUUAUCUAUCACGAGCUACAAUACGUCAGGAAUCAUUAUAAAACUACAGAUUUCAAUAUAAUCAUAAAUUAAUAAUAACACCUACACAGUAAAGUCAUCCGAUCUCUGAUAUUGGGUUUAUAAUUAUUUUGGCAUUAUAAUGAAUCUUUUGCCUAAAGUUUGUUACUUGUGUA
rnacentral:misc_RNA from 1 species